GGGCCACCAUUCAGUAAUGAGUGGUUUCUGUUUGCAAAAGCAAACGGGUGUGCCAAUUUGGCGCAAAAAACUGGGUGAAUUCGGGGAAGUCCUGCCAAGGAUAAUCCCGAGCCAAGUCCGCCAGGGUAGUAGUCGGCGGAAAGGUGUAGAGACUAGCGGGUGAGUCCCAACAAUAAUCCCGCAAAUAGCGCCCAGCUUCCCGGUUUAGUUCCGCCUCAGGCGGACAGACGGGAAGAUGAUAUAGUCCAAUCCUCAAGGUAACUUGAGC
rfam:Candidatus Magasanikbacteria bacterium RIFOXYC2_FTLL_42_28 rifoxyc2_full_scaffold_332, whole genome shotgun sequence.